rnacentral:rRNA from 1 species
UACGGAGGGUGCAAGCGUUAUCCGGAUUCACUGGGUUUAAAGGGUGCGUAGGCGGGCAGUUAAGUCAGUGGUGAAAUCCUUGAGCUCAACUCGAGAACUGCCAUUGAUACUAUCUGUCUUGAAUAUUGUGGAGGUAAGCGGAAUAUGUCAUGUAGCGGUGAAAUGCUUAGAUAUGACAUAGAACACCUAUUGCGAAGGCAGCUUACUACGCAUAUAUUGACGCUGAGGCACGAAAGCGUGGGGAUCAAACAGG